rnacentral:rRNA from 1 species
AGUGAACGCUGGCGGUAGGCCUAACACAUGCGAGUCGAACGGCAGCACAGUAAGAGCUUGCUCUUACGGGUGGCGAGUGGCGGACGGGUGAGGAAUACAUCGGAAUCUACUUUUUCGUGGGGGAUAACGUAGGGAAACUUACGCUAAUACCGCAUACGACCUACGGGUGAAAGCAGGGGAUCUUCGGACCUUGCGCGAUUGAAUGAGCCGAUGUCGGAUUAGCUAGUUGGCGGGGUAAAGGCCCACCAAGGCGACGAUCCGUAGCUGGUCUGAGAGGAUGAUCAGCCACACUGGAACUGAGACACGGUCCAGACUCCUACGGGAGGCAGCAGUGGGGAAUAUUGGACAAUGGGCGCAAGCCUGAUCCAGCCAUACCGCGUGGGUGAAGAAGGCCUUCGGGCUGUAAAGCCCUUUUGUUGGGAAAGAAAAGCAGCAGGUUAAUACCCCGCUGUUCUGACGGUACCCAAAGAAUAAGCACCGGCUAACUUCGUG